UGCGAUGAGUCGAGAAGAUCACGCCAUUUUAUGGUUCGCUAUAAGCGAUUAAGUGAUAUUUUCAAGCGGAGUACGUUUUCCUACCGUAUUGUAGGGUAUUUGAUUCAUUGGAUAUGUGAAAUC
rnacentral:ncRNA from 1 species